rnacentral:rRNA from 1 species
AUUGAACGCUGGCGGCAGGCCUAACACAUGCAAGUCGAACGGUAACAGGAAACAGCUUGCUGUUUCGCUGACGAGUGGCGGACGGGUGAGUAAUGUCUGGGAAACUGCCUGAUGGAGGGGGAUAACUACUGGAAACGGUAGCUAAUACCGCAUAACGUCGCAAGACCAAAGAGGGGGACCUUCGGGCCUCUUGCCAUCGGAUGUGCCCAGAUGGGAUUAGCUGGUAGGUGGGGUAACGGCUCACCUAGGCGACGAUCCCUAGCUGGUCUGAGAGGAUGACCAGCCACACUGGAACUGAGACACGGUCCAGACUCCUACGGGAGGCAGCAGUGGGGAAUAUUGCACAAUGGGCGCAAGCCUGAUGCAGCCAUGCCGCGUGUAUGAAGAAGGCCUUCGGGUUGUAAAGUACUUUCAGCGGGGAGGAAGGGAGUAAAGUUAAUACCUUUGCUCAUUGACGUUACCCGCAGAAGAAGCACCGGCUAACUCCGUG